CUACGGGUGGCAGCAGUGGGGAAUAUUGCACAAUGGACGAAAGUCUGAUGCAGCAACGCCGCGUGGAGGAUGACACAUUUCGGUGCGUAAACUCCUUUUAUAUAGGAAGAUAAUGACGGUACUAUAUGAAUAAGCGCCGGCUAACUCCGUGCCAGCAGCCGCGGUAAUACGGAGGGCGCAAGCGUUACUCGGAAUCACUGGGCGUAAAGAGCGUGUAGGCGGAUAGAUAAGUCAGGAGUGAAAUCCUACGGCUCAACCAUAGAACUGCUCUUGAAACUGUCUAUCUAGAAUAUGGGAGAGGUAGAUGGAAUUUCUGGUGUAGGGGUAAAAUCCGUAGAGAUCAGAAGGAAUACCGAUUGCGAAGGCGAUCUACUGGAACAUUAUUGACGCUGAGACGCGAAAGCGUGGGGAGCAAACAGGAUUAGAUACCCCGGUAGUC
rnacentral:rRNA from 1 species